GGCACUUACCUCCUCUCACAUUUCCUCCCCACUACCAGUGCUGUUCUUUUAGAUCCUCACAAUAUGGGUGGUGCAAUACUAUUGGUGGAGAGUAGUCACAUGAUAUGUACAUAUUCAAUAGUGGCGUGAAAUUGGUAGGGAAUAGAGACUGGUGCACUGAACAUCAAAAUGUUUUUAGCAAUGCAUAGAGGGCAGAAAGAAGACUGAGAUAGCUUUGUGUAAGAAGAGCUAAGUACCAAUUGGAAAUACAUUUUCAGUUUAAGAAAAUGCUAACUUUUGAACAAUUAUUGUAUCUUUUCAGUAGUGCCAUUCAGGAUAUUUAUAACAAAUGUUCUUUAGCUACUGAAUACACAACAUGAGAGAUGUGUGGUAAAGUAUAUGAUGAUGAUGCUUAUGUAACAUCACUGUACUUUUAGGAGGUAGAACAAAUGGUUUUAGUUAUGCACCUUAGUGGCCAGUACUGCAAACAAUAAGGCACAGAAUGUACUGCAUGAAAUUUGAGCCAGUAAUCCACAUACAACAUGAGUAUUGACACAAGUACAACAAAAGGCACAAUGUAUGAAACAAAGAAAUCAUUCUUCAAAAAGCAGACUUUUUAUUGUAUGCCAUGUUAAAAAGCCAGACUUAAUAAACAUGGCACGAAGACCAUGUCCUACUAUCUUCACAAGUGGAACUCAUAAUUCUUCUGCUAAAAAAGGAAAGUAUAUAAAGUGCUGUGACUACAGUGCCCUUGUUGAUAAAAGUGAUAGUGCUAAAACUCAUCUUUCAGGCCUGUCUCAGAAUGAGACAGAUUGGACAGAACUUCCCUCCUUGGCUCUAUUGUUGAUAUUUAAACACCUGACAUUGUAUGAAAGAGCAAGAGCUGCUCAGGUGUGUUGCAGUUGGCAAAAAAUUUACCACAUGCCCCAGUUGUGGCAGUCCUUUGAUUUUGUUAUAGCUCACCCUCAGUGGUCUUCUCUCCAGCCCACACCUCCAGCCUUAAUUCACUAUAUUCUCAAACACCAUGCCCAGCACCUUAGGUUUGUUACAUUCAAAGUAGACAGUUGUAGGGAGUCUGCUGAAACUGCAUGCCAAAUUCUAUCCCAACUGGUACAUUGCUCCUUAAAAACUCUUCAGUUGAUGUCAUCUGCUAAACCGUCCUUCCUUCAGCUGGAUCCCAGUCAGUUUGUCUCUGCCUUGACAUUAGUCAUUGACAAGUGCCAUUCCCUAUCUUCCCUAGCUAUUGAAGAGACUCCUGUUGAUGAUCCAUCAUUACAACUCUUGGCCACUAACAGCAGCAAUUCUUUGGAAUUCCUUGAGAUGAAGAGCUGUCCCCGAGUUUCUGCCAGAGGUAUCCAGGCUGUUGCUGACCACUGUCAUCGGCUUUGUGAACUUUCACUCAAUUAUCAUCUUCUAAAUGAUGAUCUCCUGCUGGCACUUUCAACUGAAGAACAUGCUAUUCUUAAAUUUCUUCGAGUUGAAAUAUCCUCAGAAGAAGAUGUACAGAUUCAUCACAUCACUAUGUCCUUGGCUGCACAACUUCGGCUUCUUUUGGAAGAGAUCAUUCAGGCGUGAAUGUGAACUACUCCUAAUACCUUCAUCGCGUAUUAUCAGCAUUACCUGGCUGUAUCUUCCCUUAGUGGAUAUCGUCUCCCUCCUGUGGCAAUUCUACACACGUCAGUUCACCUGUGACUAUGGCUUUAUCAGUUCAUCACAUAGCUCCAGAAAGUUGGGAAGGUUUAAUUAACCACUCACCGGCCAUGGCCUUGGUUAUGUAUGUUUUUGUAAGCCAGGACGAUAAUCUUGGUGAGUUUUUUGGCAGUAUUAUCCCC
rnacentral:misc_RNA from 1 species